rnacentral:miRNA from 1 species
CUGACUUCCGAGCUUCUGAGA